rnacentral:rRNA from 1 species
CCUACGGGGGGCAGCAGUAGGGAAUAUUGCGCAAUGGGCGAAAGCCUGACGCAGCAACGCCGCGUGGAGGAUGAAGGCCUUCGGGUCGUAAACUCCUUUCAGCAGGGAGGCGGUACCUGCAGAAGAAGCACCGGCUAACUACGUGCCAGCAGCCGCGGUAAUACGUAGGGUGCGAGCGUUGUCCGGAAUUAUUGGGCGUAAAGAGUUCGUAGGUGGUCUGUUGCGUCGGAAGUGAAAUCCCGGAGCUCAACUCCGGGACUGCUUUCGAUACGGGCAGACUAGAGGUAGGUAGGGGAGAGCGGAAUUCCUGGUGUAGCGGUGGAAUGCGCAGAUAUCAGGAGGAACACCGGUGGCGAAGGCGGCUCUCUGGACUAUCUGACACUGAGGAACGAAAGCGUGGGUAGCAAACAGGCUUAGAUACCCUUGUAGUC